AUACGUAGGGGGCGAGCGUUGUCCGGAAUCACUGGGCGUAAAGGGCGCGUAGGCGGCUGGUUAAGUCUGGUGUCAAAGACCACGGCUCAACCGUGGGGGGGCACUGGAAACUGGCUGGCUUGAGUGCAGGAGAGGGAAGCGGAAUUCCCGGUGUAGCGGUGAAAUGCGUAGGGAUCGGGAGGAACACCAGUGGCGAAGGCGGCUUCCUGGCCUGUAACUGACGCUGAGGCGCGAAAGCGUGGGGAGCGAACAGGAUUAGAUACCCUGGUAGUCCACGCCGUAAACGAUGAGUGCUAGGUGUUGGGGGCGCAGGCCCUCAGUGCUGAAGGAAACCCAAUAAGCACUCCGCCUGGGGAGUACGGCCGCAAGGCUGAA
rnacentral:rRNA from 1 species